UUACAGGAAACUGGAGAGAUGACGGAGAAGUUAAGAACAUGUACUACUUUUGAAGAAGACCCAUGUUAGAUUCAAAGAACAAGAUGAUUCAUAAUCACUGGGCUCUGGCUCCUGGCAAAUGACUGACUGAAGGAAACCAAGUUAGACUCACACCCAGCUGUUUGGAAAUGGUAAUGGAGUUGGUAGCACACCCUCUGGGAAAGAUGAAGACUCCCUUUGCUCACUCUCAAUUCCCAGCCUCGCCCUGCCAGCUCGGGGAUUUCUAAGUAAGGGUGAAUCUGGACCAUAUAUAUGUACAGGGUUUGUCGUUUCUGAUUCAUGUUUAAUGUUUAGUUGAAUAAAGCUUGUGAAGGGCUGAAGAGAUGGCUCCGAGGUUAAGAGCACUCACUGUUCUGCUCUUCCAGAGGUCCGGAGUUCCAUUCCACAGAAACCACAUGGUGGCUCACAACCCUCUGCAAAGGGAUAUCCCAUGCACUCUACUGCUGUGUGUAUAUGAAAAGUGCUUUAUUGUGUUCAUAUAAAUGAAAAUAAAUAAAUAAACUUUUAAAAGAAUGAAACAAAA